rnacentral:tRNA from 1 species
GCCGGGGUUGCCGAGUGGUAAGGCGCGGGCCUGGAGAGCCCGUGUCCCGUAAGGGACGCGUGGGUUCGAAUCCCACCCCCGGCG